rnacentral:rRNA from 1 species
GACGAACGCUGGCGGCAUGCCUAAUACAUGCAAGUCGAGCGGACUUGAAGAGAAGCUUGCUUCUCUGAUGGUUAGCGGCGGACGGGUGAGUAACACGUAGGCAACCUGCCCUCAAGUUUGGGACAACUACCGGAAACGGUAGCUAAUACCGAAUAAUUGUUUUCUUCGCCUGAAGAAAACUGGAAAGACGGAGCAAUCUGUCACUUGGGGAUGGGCCUGCGGCGCAUUAGCUAGUUGGUGAGGUAACGGCUCACCAAGGCGACGAUGCGUAGCCGACCUGAGAGGGUGAUCGGCCACACUGGGACUGAGACACGGCCCAGACUCCUACGGGAGGCAGCAGUAGGGAAUCUUCCGCAAUGGGCGAAAGCCUGACGGAGCAAUGCCGCGUGAGUGAUGAAGGUUUUCGGAUCGUAAAGCUCUGUUGCCAGG